ACGGGGCCCUAAUCUUCCCGGCCAAAGGCCGCGCAUGCCCUUGACGGCGCUCGACCAUGGCGACGACGGCCAACGGCGUGGAAUCUGAGCCAAUUACGGAGGUGCUCCCUGGCGAAUUGUCUCCGAUCACUACGAACCGUCGUUCUUGGAGCGAGGUUAGAUGCGAUGGUUUCAGAUUCCUCCGAAAUUGCUGACAAGUGAGAAUUAGACAUCCCCUGGGCCAGACCGUGAAAAAGUAAAGUAUGCGGAGGGUUACUCACAAAUCCAAGUCCACUGGUCUUGUCGAUGGUUCCAACCAUGGUGAACUUGUCACAGUACUUUGAG